GGAUCGAGUUCUGUGCAAACCCAGCUUUUUGUUGGUUUGCUCGCGGCAUUUUCUUUCCGGCUUUUAUUAUGCAGCUGCAGAGUCUGAAGGUGUGCCCCGUGCAGAAGUAAUCGAUGAAGAUCUGACAGAAGACCAACAACAAAAUCACCAUGUCAUGGAGGCAGUGGACAGCAGUUGUGUUGGACAAGUGGAGGUUGAGGUACCAGCUGCAAAUGUAGACAGUGGCGAUCGGACAGACAGCAUCACGGAAGCUAAAGGGCAGACAAAGGAUUGUGUGUGCAA